GACAGAGGGUGCAAACGUUGUUCGGAAUUACUGGGCGUAAAGCGUGUGUAGGCGGCUACGUAAGUCGGAUGUGAAAGCCCCAGGCUCAACCUGGGAAGUGCACUCGAUACUGCGUAGCUUGAGUAUCGGAGAGGUUGGUGGAAUUCUCGGUGUAGAGGUGAAAUUCGUAGUUAUCGAGAGGAACACCGGUGGCGAAGGCGGCCAACUGGACGAAUACUGACGCUGAGACACGAAAGCGUGGGGAGCAAACAGG
rnacentral:rRNA from 1 species